GAUUAAUUUUGUGCAUCUAAACAAUGGAGUUUCUGAGACGAAGUCUAGUUUUCCUCGCAGUCCUGGCGAUGGCAGCGUUGACUAUCAUCCAGGCUAUGCCUGACCCGGAUCCAGAACCUCAGCCUAUGGCUCCUGUUUGAAAAUAAAUUCUGGUAUGUCUUAGGAUUUUGAAAGAUCUCAGAGAAGACGUCUGAAUAUGUUUCUUCUGCUUCUAUAAACCUUGUUUACAGAGAUAAAAGGAAAGUUCUAAAAUAUGCUGAAAUUUUAUUCAAUAUCAUGUUAGUCAAAGUUUCAAAAACUAUUUUCUCUUUGGCAAGAGUUUCCAAAAUAUGAAACAAUAAAAUAUUCUAAUGUUAGCCUAAAA